CUACGGAGGGGACUAGCGUUGUUCGGAAUUACUGGGCGUAAAGCGUACGUAGGCGGAUCGGAAAGUAUAGGGUGAAAUCCCAGGGCUUAACCCUGGAACUGCCUUAUAAACUCCCGGGCUUGAGUUCGAGAGAGGUGAGUGGAAUUCCGAGUGUAGAGGUGAAAUUCGUAGAUAUUCGGAGGAACACCAGUGGCGAAGGCGGCUCACUGGCUCGAUACUGACGCUGAGGUACGAAAGUGUGGGGAGCAAACAGGAUUAGAAACCCCGGUAGUCC
rnacentral:rRNA from 1 species